AUAUACUAAAGCAUAAGUCAAUUGCCCAAUAAAAUUAUGACACAUGUUUUUGUGUUUCAAAAAAAAAGAUAUUGUCAAUAAAAAAAAUUGCAUUCUCAAUUCCUAAAACUGUAAAAAUAAACUAAUUUCCUUGAUUUUCUCUAUUCCACUACGUGUUUAAAAAGAAUGUUUUGUUAUCUCUCAAUUUAUAUAUUUCACAUCCCUAUAUUUUAUCACACGAUCUCAAACAGUUUUAACUCUAUACUAGAUUUUGACUCGCGCUUAGAAAACGCGGAUUUAUUUUUAAAAUUAAAUCAAUUAUUUUUGUAUAAUUCUAUUUAAAAUAAUGUAGGUUUGGGUACAUUUACCCGAGUGCAUUGAAUCGUACCAAAUUAGAAAUAAUCCAAAAUUAAACUGAAUUUCAUAAAUAACUGAGCAUAUUAUAUAUAUAUAUGUAUCUUUGGAACCGAAAAAUAGAAACCGCACUAAGAACCAAAUGAGUACUUAAAAUUUUAAAAUACAAAUUAUAUACCUAUUUAACAUAACUAAACCAAUAAAAAAAUUUAUACUAUUAAUGAAACUAUACAUGGUAAUGUUCACGUCAUGUAAAAAUAUGUUUGAAUAAUCUGUCAUAUAUUCAUGGAGAUUUAUUGUUAGAGUAAUUAUAUAAUAUAUCAUGGGAAAAUAAUAAAUGAGUUUAUUUAAAUCAUGUAAAGUAUUUAUAUAGUUAGAGAAAUAUAAGGAAAACCAAAUAAAUAAUUAAGUCUAAUGAAAUGGUCUAACAACUUUGUGUAAGUAGAUUUCUUAGGACUCUUUCCCUUUUAAUAGUAUAGAUAAUUUUGAAGUAAUUAAUUUUAGAGUAAUUGCACUCUACACACAAGAAUUAUAUGAUAAUUAGAUGAAUACACUAUUUAUGUUUUCCAUGCAUAAAGCUGAGAAUUAGAUGACCAUUUUACCCUUGUUCAUGUCUGAGCAUUUGCAACCGGUCACCUGUUAGAUUUGUAAUUUAAAUUAAUUUUUUUUUAAUUUUCUCUCUGGUAACCCAAAAUCACACGAAAUCUUAUAUGUCAGGCAAGUUGAUAUUUUACACUUUUCCAAACCUUCCUAUCUACUCAUAAAUCGAAAAUCCCAUAAUUCUUAAGUGAGAUAAAGGCACAAUUCCCAUUAUUUGCAGUAAGAGUGAGCCAUUGCAGAGUUAUUUAAUGGAAUCUGGAGCAAAAGCGUUGGUGAAGUAGUUCUAGGAUUUCUUCAGAGAAGAGAAGAAAUGUUUUUAAUCUGAUUUUUUUUUUUGUGCUGGUAAAGGUGGUGGUCGUGAGCAAGAGGUGGUGGUCUCUCUCUCUCUCUUUCUCUAUCUCUUUGUUGACAAUCUGAUAUUUAGUGCUGGUAAAGGUGGUGGUCAUGAGCAAGAGGUGGUGGUCGUGAGCAGAGGAGAAGUCUCCUCCCUUCAUCACCGGUCUCGAGCUUGCCCCUGUCAUCACAGGUCUCGAAUUCGUCCUGGUCGUCAUCAAUGGUGCCGGAGAUGGAGACAGAAUAGAGGAAGACAUCGAGAACAAAGAGGCAAAAGAGGAGAGAGGCGGCAGCAGAGAUAUUAGGUUUAGAGUUUGGUUAAUUAGGUUUAGAUUUUAGUCAAUUAGUUUUUUGUUUAAUGUGAUCAAUUCUAGAUAUAACCAGAUACUUAUAACUCUAGCUGCUACUUUUGUCAUUAAAUAUGUUAACUAUAUAAGUUAGACUAGCAUUUAAACAGAAUUGUUAGUUUUUUUAUGUUGCUAAUAACUCGAUGUCCAAUAUUUAA